rnacentral:sRNA from 1 species
GCGCAAAAUGUCCCUGGAACAGGAGGAGGAAACGCAACCUGGGCGGCUCCUAGGACGCAGAGACGCCGUCCCCGCCUUCAUUGAGCCCAACGUGCGCUUCUGGAUCACCGAGCGCCAAUCCUUUAUUCGACGAUUUCUUCAAUGGACAGAAUUAUUAGAUCCUACAAAUGUGUUCAUUUCAGUUGAAAGUAUAGAAAACUCGAGGCAACUAUUGUGCACAAAUGAAGAUGCUUCCAGCCCUGCCUCGGCGGACCAAAGGAGGACCAGCUUUGCAAAACUGGAUACAAGAAGCUUGGAAGCGGAGUCUUGCAACAGUGCAUCCCGACAGCAGCAACCUGAUCCCCAAGCUUUUUCGACCUGCAGCGUUCCUGCCUUUCAUGGCGCCCACGGUAUUUUUGUCAAUGACACCACUGAAAGGGAUCAAGUCCGUGAUUUUACCUCAGGUUUUCCUCUGUGCCUACAUGGCAGCAUUCAACAGCAUCAAUGGAAACAGAAGUUACACUUGUAAGCCACUAGAAAGAUCAUUACUAAUGGCGGGAGCCGUUGCUUCUUCAACUUUCUUAGGAGUAAUCCCUCAGUUUGUCCAGAUGAAGUAUGGCCUGACUGGCCCUUGGAUUAAAAGACUCUUACCUGUGAUCUUCCUCGUGCAAGCCAGUGGAAUGAAUGUCUACAUGUCCCGAAGUCUUGAAUCCAUUAAGGGGAUUGCGGUCAUGGACAAGGAAGGCAAUGUCCUGGGCCAUUCCAGAAUUGCUGGGACAAAGGCUGUUAGAGAAACGCUAGCAUCCAGAAUAGUGCUGUUUGGGACCUCAGCUCUGAUUCCUGAAGUCUUCACCUACUUUUUUAAAAGGACCCAGUAUUUCAGGAAAAACCCAGGGUCAUUGUGGAUUUUGAAACUGUCUUGUACUGUCCUGGCAAUGGGACUGAUGGUGCCAUUUUCUUUUAGUAUAUUUCCACAGAUUGGACAGAUACAGUACUGUAGUCUUGAAGAGAAAAUUCAGUCUCCAACAGAAGAAACAGAAAUCUUUUAUC